AUUGAACGCUGGCGGCAUGCCUUACACAUGCAAGUCGAACGGCAGCACGGGUGCUUGCACCUGGUGGCGAGUGGCGAACGGGUGAGUAAUACAUCGGAACGUACCUUAUCGUGGGGGAUAACGCAGCGAAAGCUGUGCUAAUACCGCAUACGCCCUGAGGGGGAAAGCGGGGGAUCGCAAGACCUCGCGCGAUUAGAGCGGCCGAUGCCUGAUUAGCUUGUUGGUGGGGUAAAAGCCCACCAAGGCGACGAUCAGUAGCUGGUCUGAGAGGAGGAUCAGCCACACUGGGGCGGAGACACGGCCCAGACUCCUACGGGAGGCAGCAGUGGGGAAUUUUGGACAAUGGGUGCAACCCUGAUCCAGCAAUGCCGCGUGAGUGAAGAAGGCCUUCGGGUUGUAAAGCUCUUUUGUCAGGGAAGAAACACCGGCUCUAACACAGUCCGGGAAUGACGGUACCUGAAGAAUAAGCACCGGCUAACUACGUGCCAGCCGCCGCCGUAA
rnacentral:rRNA from 1 species